CCAAUUUGAUGACAAGCAAAAUUCUAUGUACAAGUUUUGUUACUAUUUAAAGUUUUUCUUUUACCCAUUUAUUUUGAAGGUAAAGUAAUCUAUGCUGUGAAAUGGAUGAUGAGACUGAAGAACAAAUGAGGAAUGAUAAGUCCAAUGUCAUAAGAACUUGAACUCAUCUUCCUACAAUUCCUAGUAAAUUUUCUAGAGUCCGUGGUCCUUGAAAAGCUUGAGUGGGAGGCACUUUGUUUACUUCUAGAUGUGCCUAGUGGGAUUAAUUCCAUUCUCGGUAAUCAAUUGAAUACCUUUGCCUGAUGGUGACAGCUUUUUCAACUAAUUUUUCAGGAAAGAGGAAGUGGGGAUAUAUUGGAAGAAAGGAAGAAAACCUUUGUCUUUUGAGCAAUCAGUAUUGUGAUAAUGGCAAAGGUCUAUUUUCUUUUCCUUUUCUUUUUUCUUAGUGUACUUCUUGUCCCCCUCCUCUUGUACUUGAUCCUCUUUUCUUCUUUCUUUUUCUUUUUUCCCCUUUUUAAUGAAAUUUUCUUUGUUUACAAUCAAAAAAUUAUCCAAAAAAGAAAAGAAAAAAAAAAGUCUAUAUUAUAUAAAGGGAUGGGGAAAAUGUGGGGAGAAGGGAAUAAAAUGAAGUUGGCAUGUAGUUGCAUUACAUUAAGGUAUUCAGCUUGCUGCAUAGUUUAGUUUAUGAUUUUUGUGAAAGAACUCAACUUCUUUUCAAAGGUUUGUCCAUUUUGCAUUAAUGGCUAGCGGGUGAUCACCAUGAGAAACAUCUAUUUCGGCAUUAGUAGGUUGCAAAUGCAAAUGUCUUUGGGGUUCCAAGUAAUUUCUUAAGCAUUCUCUAGAUGGUUGAACUAAUUAAUUAUUUGCUUUUUGUUUUUCAUUAAGCCAUUACUCAGAGAAGCAUAGUGUUUUCUCUUUUAUUUCAGAUGAGAGGUGUUUGACGAAUUUCCAAUUCAGAACAGUGACAAAUUGACUAUACUUUAGAGACAGUGACUAAGGAAGCUUCAGCGAAAUGGAGAUAAUUCUCUACGAAGAUAAUCUUGGAGAAGAUUGCCGUAUCUUUGAAAACCUGUUUCAGUUCUGUCAAAUUUAUGCUGGUGGAACUAUAGAUGCUGCGCGUAGAUUGAACAAUCAGCUUUGUGACAUUGCCAUAAAUUAGGCUGGUGGACUACAUCAUGCCAAGAAGUGCGAGGCAUCUGGUUUUUGUUACAUCAAUGACUUGGUUUUGGGGAUUUUGGAGCUUCUAAAAUAUCAUCCACGUGUUCUAUACAUUGGUAUAGAUGUGCAGCAUGGUGAUGGUGUUGAAGAAGCAUUCUAUUUUACAGACAGACCAAUUAUUGCUUGUUGAAUCUGUUAACCCACAAUCAUAAGAGCAUCAAGAAAGAAGCCUGUUGAACAAUCUCAAACAUUACUGCUGGAAACAAGGAACAGAUACAGAUUGGUUUUUGAUGACGUUUGGAAGUAUACUUGCAAAUGAAGAUCGACUGUUGAAUUUUGUUUCGUGAACUGAUACUUAGUUGUAGUUGCAAAUCAAGAUUGAGUGUUGAUUUUUUUUUUUGUGGAUUUCACAUUAGUUCAUUUUGGGAUUUGCUUUGGUGGUUUUUUUGUUGUACUUAAUGGUUUAUAUUAUUAAAGUUGUUUGAUGGAUAUAUUUUGAUUUAUAAUG